UCUGCUCCGCUGCCGGGCCUCCAGCGAGCUCCGCGCGUCCGAGAGGGAACCAAGGGCUCCCUGGUUCAAAGGGCCACAGCCCUGAGGGGAUGCUUCCUUGUGUGCCCCGGGGUGCAGAAGCAGACUGCAGGGCGGUGGGACCAGCCUGGGCCACGGUGAUAUUGCAACCACGGACUCCCUAGACUCACCAAGUGUUGAAGACACGGGGGCACAAUUUCUGGGAGACUCAGGCACCACCAACACCCUUACUUAGAAUAUUCUAUAGUGACUUCUGGAGGGGUUGGCCAGGUACCCAAACAUCAGGACCCCAAAGAAGGGAAAUAAAAGUGGGAUUGAAGCGCUCCAGGGGUUCCCAGUCAGGGACUGCUUCAACACGUGUAACUCUGUGUAAGAGGACGACGCUUCAGGUUUUCAGAAGCUAUCUUUGGACUUGAUGUGUGCCUUUAAAGGUCACCUUCAGUGGAUACAGAACAAGAGUUUCUGUUGUUCCACUUGGAUCCCAGCACUUCAGAUAUGAAUAGUUUUCAUUUUUUGGUCCUUCCCGCAAGGACUACCUGGAUCAAGCUGAGGCAGGAGCUGGUCAACAUCAACUUCAUCCUUGGAAGCACGCCCACCCUACUUCUCUUUCAGUCCUACCCACUUUUUUUUUUUUCACAAAGCCUUGGCCAUCACAAGGAGGUUUGCUUCUAUUCUUUAUGUGUACCAGAAACACAGGAAGUCCAGAGACACUGGGUUUUGUGAACAGUUAGCUUGAUCUAAAGAAGGGAUGGACUUUGUGUAUCAGAUAGAAUAUUUUCUUCCAAGUGUCGUUUGUUGUUGCUUGGUUUGAUUUGAAAUUGAAUGUAAGGCGUUCAAGCUCAGCUUCAUUGUUAGACAUUUUUCACUUUUCCCUAAUUAUUAUUAUUUUUAAAAUAUUUAUUUCUUUGUUAUGUAUACAGUGUUCUGUCGGCAUGUGUACAUGCAUACUAGAAAAGGGCAUUCGAUCUCAUUAUAGAUGGUGGUGAGCCACCAUGUGGUUUCUGGGAAUUGAACACAGGUCCUCUGGAAGAUCAGCCAGUGCUCUUAAACUCUGUGCCAUCUCUCCAGCCCUCCCUAAUUACUUUUAAGAUGAGGGUGAAGGCAACACCUUCAUUACACGUUACUGGAAUAUAUAACCCUUUUUCCUACAUCUUUCAGUAUUGUUCCAUAAGCCUGAAAUGAAUCUUUGACUUUCUCAUACUCAGGCAAAUAGCAGUGUCAAAGUUACUAUUCAAACAGCAAACAGAUAUUAGGAUGGCACCAAGGUUCUGUUGUUUCCUACCAAUUAUUUUUUCCCACAAUGCCUUGGCCAUCACAAGGUUUGUUUCUAUUCUGUAUGUGUACCAGAAACACAGGAAGUCCUGAGACAGAAUGUGAGAUUGAAGGAAGUACCAUAGUCUCUUAAUUCAUAAGUAAAUUACUUUUUAAACAUUGCCCCCUUUGAGAUUUGGCAAAUAGUUAAACUAGUUUACACACUUCUUCUCUCUCCCUUUCCUUUUAAGUACAGCUCGUAAGUAAGCAGACACCUUAACCAGCUCUCAUAGUAAACAGCUUUCUUUUUAUUGCCUUUUCAUAGCAGAGAGCUAUCAAAAAUAAGAUAAUGCCUAAAGAUCUGGAGCCUAAUCAGCUUUCUUGCUGAGUUUAAAGAGUCCUGAGGCUGUUAAGUUAGCCCUGGUUAUAUAUGCGGGUGGCUGUGGUGUUUGCUCUGCCCCAUUUUGAUGGAGAGGGUAAUGUGUUUGCCAGAUAAGGGGAAAGGGACCAGCCACAAAUGCAAGGUUCUGUUUGAUAAACCCUGACAUGGUUAGCCAUUUUUCAUACACAUGAAAGGAAGCUUUCAAACCCAAAGGAAAAUAGAGGUGUCCAUUCAAGCUUACUCAUGUUUAUCAAGACAAAAAAAGGUAAAUAAAGAAAAUUGGCAUCCUGUAGUUUAUUUAAUUAAUUAGCUCCACAGCUUAUCAUAAAAUUGAAAAGUUGGAUAAUGUUCAAGUCUGUUUUUCAUUUUUUUUGUGAUCUAGUGAGAGAGUUAAGUUUUUCUUGUUCAUAUAUAUUGAAAAGGCAGUUAUUUUGCUGGGCUGUGUUGCCUCAUUGCAAGGUGUAGGCUCAAUACGAAGAAAAUUAUGAGCUGAAGUUAAGCCUUUAUAGGGCUUCUAUGCAUGUUCUUGGAAUAAGAAUGCUAUUUGAAAUCAGUAUUCAAAUACAUGAUAGAUGACAUGCUUUGCAAAGAGGCCUGUAGCCAGAAAGAGAUUGAUAAGGCUGAGAACAAAAUACCCUGCCUUGCAUACACUUAAUAAUGUGAGAUUGGUCUGUUCUAGAACUUCAGUUAAUGUAAAUGCAUACACAGAGGUGUUCUAAAAUAAAUAACUGGCUUUGAGGUUGCAGCUAAAUUGGUAGAGAAAUGCUUAGCAUAAAUGAGUCUGUGGCUUCAUUUCUUAGCACUGUAUGGAGAAGGCACGGUGGUGCCUACCUAUAAUCUUAGCACACAGAGGGCAGAGGCUGGGGAAUUAUGAAGUUCAACCUCAUUUUUAGUUUUAUCAUGAGUGUGGGGUCAGCAUAAGGUAUGGAAAACCAUGUCUCAACAAACCGAAUAAGAAUAAGAACUUUAUUAUUUAGAAUCAUUUUUAAGAUGUUAGGGAUUGGUACUGGCAAUAUGGCUCAGGGGGUGUCAAUACUUUCUGCUCGUCCAGAAGAUCUGAGUUCAGUUCCUAGUACCCACAUUAGGUGGCUUACUACCACCUGUAACUCCAAGUCCAGGGGACUCAGUGCCUUCUUUCGGCCUCUGAGGGCAUCCACACACAUUCAACACACAAGCGCGUGCACUCUCUCUGUCUCUCUCUCUCUCUCUCACACACACACACACCAAAUCUUUACUUAAAAAAUAAAAUAUUUAAAUGUUGGAGAUGAACUAUGUUUUGCUUUAUACCAUUUUUUGACAUUUCUUCAAAGAAGAAUUCAGUUAUUUUUAUUAUUGCCACUGUACUAUGGAGCUCAACUUCAAUAGUUUAAUGACUGAUGGCUAAUUUAUCGGAAAUAACAACCUUAACUUAUCCUAGUAAAUUUUUUCUAAUUCUCUUCUUAGAAAUUCUGGUUUCCUGGUUUCUAGUAAAUUAGAAGUGUUUAAUAAACUAAAGAUAUGACCUUUAAUGAUUAGUUUAUCUAUA